AUGCCUGGUGGGUACAAAGGGGAGUGUGGGGAUGAUGUGGACCCUAUGCCUUUCCUGGCACCUCCCGAAAAGGAGAGGAUUGAAGCCAUGAACAAGCCCUAUGACAUUAAGAGGUCCUGCUGGGUCAAAGAUGAGAAGGAAGGCUUCGUCGCUGGGGAGAUCCAGUCUGAACAGGGUGACCAAGUCACCGUGAAGACGAUCACCAACCAGACACUCACUGUGAAGAAGGAUGAUAUCCAGCAGAUGAACCCACCCAAAUUCUACCAGGCCAGCGACAUGGCAGACAUGACCUUCCUGAAUGAAGCCAGUGUCCUAGACAAUCUGCGCCAACGCUACACCAACAUGAGGAUCUAUACCUACUCGGGCUUGUUCUGCGUGACGGUCAACCCCUACAAAUGGCUGCCCAUCUACGGGGCCCGUGUGGCUAACAUGUACAAGGGCAAGAAGCGCACAGAGAUGCCGCCUCACCUCUUCUCCAUCUCUGACAACGCCUACCACGACAUGCUCAUGGAUCGUGAAAAUCAGUCUAUGCUAAUCACCGGAGAAUCUGGUGCUGGUAAGACUGAGAACACGAAGAAGGUCAUCCAGUACUUUGCCAACAUUGGAGGAACUGGCAAACAGACCACAGAUAAGAAGGGGUCUCUGGAGGAUCAAGUCAUCCAGGCAAACCCCGUGCUGGAGGCCUUCGGGAACGCCAAGACCAUCAGGAACAACAACUCCUCUCGCUUCGGCAAGUUCAUCCGAAUCCACUUUGGAACCACAGGGAAACUGGCUGGAGCUGACAUCGAGAGCUAUCUCUUAGAGAAAUCUCGUGUCAUCUCACAGCAAGCAGCUGAGAGAAGCUACCACAUCUUCUACCAGAUUCUCUCAAACAAGAAGCCUGAACUUGUUGAGAGCUUGCUGCUGGUCCCCAACCCUAAGGAAUACCACUGGGUGAGCCAAGGCGUCACCACUGUGGACAACAUGGACGACAAGGAGGAGAUGCAGAUCACAGACGAAGCCUUUGAUGUGCUGGGCUUCAGCGCCGAGGAGAAGAUCGCUGUGUAUAAGCUGACGGGAGGUAUCAUGCACUUUGGGAACAUGAAGUUCAAGCAAAAGCCCAGAGACGAGCAAGCUGAAGUGGACACCACUGAGGUGGCUGACAAAGUUGCCCAUCUCAUGGGUCUCAACUCCGGUGAACUGCAGAAGGGCAUCACCAGGCCCCGGGUCAAAGUCGGCAAUGAGUUUGUGCAAAAAGGCCAGAACAUGGAACAGUGCCAAAACUCCAUUGGGGCUCUGGGCAAGGCUGUCUAUGACAAGAUGUUCAAGUGGUUGGUGGCCAGGAUUAACAAGACCUUGGACACCAAGAUGCAGAGGCAGUUCUUCAUUGGAGUGCUGGACAUCGCUGGCUUUGAGAUCUUUGAGUUCAACAGCUUUGAGCAGCUGUGCAUCAACUUCACCAACGAGAAGCUGCAGCAGUUCUUCAACCACCACAUGUUCGUGCUGGAGCAGGAGGAGUACAGGAGGGAAGGCAUCGAGUGGGUCUUCAUCGACUUUGGCCUCGACCUGCAGGCCUGCAUCGACCUGCUGGAAAAGCCCAUGGGCAUCUUCUCCAUCUUGGAGGAACAGUGCGUCUUCCCCAAAGCCACCGAUGCCACGUUCAAGGCAGCCCUGUAUGACAACCACCUGGGCAAGUCCAGCAACUUCCUGAAGCCCAAGGGGGGCAAGAGCAAGGGGCCCGAGGUCCACUUUGAGCUCGUUCACUAUGCAGGCACCGUGGGAUAUAACAUCACAGGCUGGCUGGAGAAGAACAAAGACCCCCUGAAUGAAACAGUGGUGGGCUUGUUCCAGAAAUCGAGUAUAGCAAUCCUGGCCCUUCUCUUCAAAGAAGAGGAGGCUCCAGCCGGAAGCAAGAAGCAGAAGAGAGGCUCCUCCUUCAUGACAGUCUCCAAUUUCUACAGGGAGCAGCUGAACAAGCUGAUGACCACCCUCCAUAGCACCGCACCCCAUUUUGUCCGCUGUAUUAUCCCCAAUGAGUUUAAGCAAUCGGGUGUGAUAGACGCCCACCUGAUCAUGCACCAGCUAGCUUGCAAUGGUGUCCUGGAAGGCAUCCGUAUCUGCAGGAAGGGCUUCCCAAACAGGCUGCAGUACCCAGAGUUCAAACAGAGGUACCAAGUGCUGAACCCCAAUGUGAUUCCCCAGGGGUUCGUGGACAACAAAAAGGCCUCAGAGCUGCUGCUUGCAGCCAUUGACCUAGAUGUGAAUGAAUACAAAAUCGGACACACCAAGGUGUUCUUCCGUGCGGGCAUCCUGGCCAGGCUUGAGGACAUGAGGGAUGACCGUCUGGCUAAGAUCAUGACGAUGCUGCAGUGUCGGCUUCGGGGCUUCCUCAUGAGGGUGGAGUUCAAGAAGAUGCUGGAACGAAGAAUGGGCCUGAAAGUCGUUCAGCGGAAUGUGCGCAAGUUCCUGCAGCUCCGUUUCUGGGGCUGGUGGAAGCUCUACAACAAGGUCAAGCCACUCCUGAAUGUGGCUCGGCAAGAGGAGGAGAUGAAGGCCAAGGAGGAGGAGCUCAGGAAAGCCAUGGCCAAGACCCAGGAGCUGGUAAACAAGGUCAAGGAGCUGGAGGAGAAGACAGCCACGCUCAGCCAGGAGAAGAAUGACCUUACCAUCCAGCUGCAGGCUGAGCAAGAGAACCUGAUGGAUGCAGAGGAUCGCCUGACACAGAUGAUGAAGACCAAGAUGGAUCUGGAGAGCCAGAUCUCAGACAUGCGGGAGCGGCUGGAGGAGGAAGAGGGCAUGGCGGCCUCACUGAGUGCCACCAAGCGCAAGCUGGAGGGGGAGCUGAGCGACCUGAAGCGGGACCUAGAGGGCCUGGAAACCACACUGGCCAAGACAGAGAAGGAGAAGCAGGCCCUGGAUCACAAGGUCCGUACCCUGACGGGGGACCUCUCACUCCGUGAAGACUCCAUCGCCAAGCUCCAGAAGGAGAAGAGGGCCCUGGAGGAACUGCACCAGAAAACCCUGGACGACCUACAGGCUGAGGAGGACAAGGUGAACCACCUGACCAAAAAUAACAGCAAGCUGAGCACGCAGAUCCACGAGCUGGAGGAUAACUGGGAGCAGGAAAAGAAAAUCCGGGCGGAGGUGGAAAAGGCUCGUCGGAAAGCUGAGAGUGACCUGAAGAUGACCAUCGACAACCUCAAUGAGAUGGAGCGUUCCAAGCUGGAUCUCGAGGAGGUGGUGAAAAAGAGGGAUUUGGAAAUAAACUCUGUCAACUCGAAAUACGAGGAUGAGCAGUCUUUGAAUUCCACGCUACAGCGGAAACUGAAGGAGCACCAGGCCCGAAUUGAAGAGCUGGAAGAAGAACUAGAAGCUGAGAGGACCAUGAGAGCCAAGGUGGAGAAACAACGCAGUGACCUGUCCCGGGAUCUCGAAGACCUCAGUGACAGGCUGGAGGAAGCGGGUGGAGCCACAUCUGCUCAGAUCGAGCAGAACCGCAAGCGGGAGGCUGAGCUGCUGAAGCUGCGGCGGGAGCUAGAAGAGGCCGCCCUGCAGAGCGAGGCGACGGCCUCCACACUGCGCAAGAAGCACAUGGACUCCAUGGCCGAGCUGACGGAGCAUGUGGAGAGCCUGCAGAGGGUCAAGUCCAAGCUGGAGAAAGAUAAACAGGUCAUGAAGGCUGAGAUUGAUGACCUCAAUGCCAGCGUGGAGAUGAUACAGAAGUCCAAGAUGAACGCCGAGGCCCACGUCAGAAAGCUGGAAGACAGCUUAUCAGAAGCCAACGCCAAGGUGGCAGAACUAGAGCGAAACCAAGCAGAAAUCAAUGCCAUCAGGACCCGCCUCCAAGCUGAAAAUAGUGAACUGAGCAGGGAAUAUGAAGAGUCCCAGAGCCGGCUCAAUCAAAUCCUACGGAUAAAGACAUCUCUGACGUCACAAGUGGAUGAUUACAAGAGGCAGCUGGAUGAAGAGUCAAAGUCUCGCAGCACCGCUGUGGUGAGUCUGGCCAACACCAAGCACGACCUGGACCUAGUAAAGGAGCAGCUGGAGGAGGAGCAGGGAGGCAAGUCGGAGCUGCAACGCCUUGUGUCCAAACUCAACACUGAGGUCACCACUUGGAGGACCAAGUACGAGACCGAUGCCAUCCAGAGGACAGAGGAGCUGGAGGAGACCAAGAGGAAGCUGGCCGCCAGGCUUCAGGAGGCAGAAGAAGCAGCUGAAACUGCCCAGGCCCGGGCUGCCUCCCUCGAGAAAAAUAAGCAGAGACUCCAGGCAGAAGUUGAGGACCUCACCAUCGACUUGGAAAAGGCCAAUGCUGCAGCCGCUGCCCUGGACAAGAAGCAGAGGCUCUUUGACAAGAUGCUGGCUGAGUGGCAGCAGAAGUGUGAGGAGUUGCAGGUGGAAGUGGACAGCUCGCAGAAGGAGUGCCGCAUGUACAUGACAGAGAGCUUCAAGAUCAAGACUGCCUACGAGGAGUCUCUGGAGCAUCUAGAGUCCGUGAAGAAGGAGAAUAAGACCCUGCAGGAGGAGAUAAAGGAUCUCAUUGAUCAGCUGGGUGAGGGAGGAAGGAGUGUGCAUGAGCUGCAGAAGUUGAAGAAAAAAUUGGAGAUGGAAAAGGAAGAACUCCAGGUGGCCCUGGAAGAAGCUGAGUCUUCCCUGGAGGUUGAAGAGAGCAAGGUGAUUCGAAUUCAGUUGGAACUGGCUCAGGUUAAAGCUGACAUUGACCGGAGAAUCCAUGAGAAAGAAGAAGAAUUUGAGGCUACCAGGAAGAACCACCAGCGGGCAAUCGAGUCCUUGCAGGCCAGCCUGGAGGCGGAGGCCAAGGGCCGGGCAGAGGCACUUCGGCUCAAGAAGAAGAUGGAGACGGACCUGAAUGAGAUGGAAAUCCAGCUGGACCACGCCAACAAGAACAACAGCGAACUUGUAAAGACACUGAAAAGGCUGCAACAGCAAAUCAAGGACCUGCAGGUCCAGAUGGACGAGGAUGCCAGGCAGCACGAGGAGCUGCGGGAGCAGUACAACCUGCAGGAGCGGCGCCUGAGCCUGCUGCAGACAGAGCUAGAGGAGGUGCGCUCAGCCCUGGAGGGCAGUGAGCGUUCGCGCAAGCUGCUGGAGCAGGAAGUGGUGGAAAUCACCCAGCGGCACAACGAGAUCAACAUCCAGAACCAGAGCCUCCUCGUGGUCAAACGCAAGCUGGAGUCAGAUGUCCAGCGCAUCUCCAACGAGCACGAGGAGCUCAUCAGUGAGUUCCGCUCGGCCGAAGAGAGAGCCAAGAAGGCCAUGACGGACGCCGCCCGCAUGGCAGAAGAACUCCGGCAAGAGCAGGACCACUGCAUGCACCUAGAGAAGAUCAAGAAGAACUAUGAGGUCACCAUCAAAGACCUGCAGGCCAAGAUGGAGGAGGCCGAGCAGCUGGCUCUGAAAGGCGGCAAGCGAAUGAUCAUGAAGCUGGAAGCCAGGAUCAAGGAAUUAGAGACAGAGCUGGAUGGGGAACAGAAACAGCACGCGGAGACAGUCAAGAUGCUGCGUAAGAAUGAGCGUCGCCUCAAAGAGCUGGUCUUCCAGACAGAGGAGGACCACAAGACCAACCAGCGCAUGCAGGAGCUGGUGGAGAAGCUACAGAACAAGCUGAAGGUCUACAAGAGGCAGAUCGAGGAGGCGGAGGACCAGGCCAACCAGACCUUGGCUCGAUACAGGAAGACGGUGCACGAGCUGGAUGACGCUGAGGAGCGGGCCGGCAUGGCAGAGACCGCCCUAAACAAGCUGCGCACCAGACACCGUGUGGCCGGCAAGGGCAUCACCUCCGUGGAGAUCAUCCAGGUGUCCAAGACAGGCACCUCAAAAACCCUUUCUGAGGAGUGA
rnacentral:sRNA from 1 species